GGACAAUUAGCUCAGCUGGUUAGAGCGUUGCAUUCACAUUGCAAAGGUCGCUGGUUCGAAUCCAGCAUUGUCCACCA
rnacentral:tRNA from 1 species